AUUGAACGCUGGCGGCAUGCUUUACGCAUGCAAGUCGAACGGCAGCGGGGAGGAGCUUGCUUCUCUGCCGGCGAGUGGCGAACGGGUGAGUAAUACAUCGGAACAUGUCGAGAAGAGGGGGAUAACCACCCGAAAGGGUGGCUAAUACCGCAUAAAUUCUGAGGAAGAAAGCUGGGGACCUAGGAAUAGGCCUAGCGCUUUUUGAGCGGCCGAUGUCGGAUUAGCUAGUUGGUGAGGUAAAGGCUCACCAAGGCGAAGAUCUGUAGCGGGUCUGAGAGGAUGAUCCGCCACACUGGGACUGAGACACGGCCCAGACUCCUACGGGAGGCAGCAGUGGGGAAUUUUGGACAAUGGGGGCAACCCUGAUCCAGCCAUGCCGCGUGUAUGAAGAAGGCCUUAGGGUUGUAAAGUACUUUUGUUAGGGAAGAAAAGUCAGCUGUGAAUAAUGGCUGAUACUGACGGUACCUAAAGAAUAAGCACCGACUAACUACGUG
rnacentral:rRNA from 1 species